rnacentral:rRNA from 1 species
CGAGCGAGCUUGCCUAGAUGAUUUUAGUGCUUGCACUAAAUGAAACUAGAUACAAGCGAGCGGCGGACGGGUGAGUAACACGUGGGUAACCUGCCCAAGAGACUGGGAUAACACCUGGAAACAGAUGCUAAUACCGGAUAACAACACUAGACGCAUGUCUAGAGUUUGAAAGAUGGUUCUGCUAUCACUCUUGGAUGGACCUGCGGUGCAUUAGCUAGUUGGUAAGGUAACGGCUUACCAAGGCAAUGAUGCAUAGCCGAGUUGAGAGACUGAUCGGCCACAUUGGGACUGAGACACGGCCCAAACUCCUACGGGAGGCAGCAGUAGGGAAUCUUCCACAAUGGACGAAAGUCUGAUGGAGCAACGCCGCGUGAGUGAAGAAGGGUUUCGGCUCGUAAAGCUCUGUUGGUAGUGAAGAAAGAUAGAGGUAGUAACUGGCCUUUAUUUGACGGUAAUUACUUAGAAAGUCACGGCUAACUACGUGCCAGCAGCCGCGGUAAUACGUAGGUGGCAAGCGUUGUCCGGAUUUAUUGGGCGUAAAGCGAGUGCAGGCGGUUCAAUAAGUCUGAUGUGAAAGCCUUCGGCUCAACCGGAGAAUUGCAUCAGAAACUGUUGAACUUGAGUGCAGAAGAGGAGAGUGGAACUCCAUGUGUAGCGGUGGAAUGCGUAGAUAUAUGGAAGAACACCAGUGGCGAAGGCGGCUCUCUGGUCUGCAACUGACGCUGAGGCUCGAAAGCAUGGGUAGCGAACAGGAUUAGAUACCCUGGUAGUCCAUGCCGUAAACGAUGAGUGCUAAGUGUUGGGAGGUUUCCGCCUCUCAGUGCUGCAGCUAACGCAUUAAGCACUCCGCCUGGGGAGUACGACCGCAAGGUUGAAACUCAAAGGAAUUGACGGGGGCCCGCACAAGCGGUGGAGCAUGUGGUUUAAUUCGAAGCAACGCGAAGAACCUUACCAGGUCUUGACAUCCAGUGCAA